CUAAGAGUGUAGGCCGUGACAUAGGCAAAUCCGUGUCACAUUAAGGCUGAGACUUGAUGCAUACCCGUUGUGGGGAAUUCAGUGAUCCUAUGCUGCCGAGAAAAGCCUCUAGUGAGUUCAUACACGGCCCGUACCCCAAACCGACACAGGUGAUCAGGUAGAGAAUACCAAGGCGAUCGAGAGAACUGUGGUUAAGGAACUCGGCAAAAUGCCCCCGUAACUUCGGGAGAAGGGGGACCAUGCCCGGUGAACAUCUUCACGGUGGGAGCUGGGUGUGGUCGCAGAGACCAGAGAGAAGCGACUGUUUACUAAAAACACAGGUCCGUGCGAAGACGUAAGUCGAUGUAUACGGACUGACGCCUGCCCGGUGCUGGAAGGUUAAGAGGACCGGUUAGCCGUAAGGCGAAGCUGAGAAUUUAAGCCCCAGUAAACGGCGGUGGUAACUAUAACCAUCCUAAGGUAGCGAAAUUCCUUGUCGGGUAAGUUCCGACCUGCACGAAUGGCGUAACGACUUCUCUGCUGUCUCGACCAGACUCGGCGAAAUUGCACUACGAGUAAAGAUGCUCGUUACGCGCGGCAGGACGAAAAGACCCCGGGACCUUUACUAUAGCUUGGUAUUGGCGUUCGAUUCGGUUUGUGUAGGAUAGGUGGGAGACUGUGAAGCAUGCACGCCAGUGUGUGUGGAGUCGUUGUUGAAAUACCACUCUGAUCGUAUUGGACGUCUAACCUCGGCCCAUGAUCUGGGUUAGGGACAGUGCCUGGUGGGUAGUUUAACUGGGGCGGUUGCCUCCUAAAGAGUAACGGAGGCACCCAAAGGUUCCCUCAGCCUGGAUGGCAAUCAGGUGUUGAGUGCAAGUGCACAAGGGAGCUUGACUGUGAGACUGACACGUCGAGCAGGGACGAAAGUCGGGACUAGUGAUCCGGCACCGGCAAGUGGAAGCGGUGUCGCUCAACGGAUAAAAGGUACCCCGGGGAUAACAGGCUGAUCUUCCCCAAGAGUCCAUAUCGACGGGAUGGUUUGGCACCUCGAUGUCGGCUCGUCGCAUCCUGGGGCUGGAGUAGGUCCCAAGGGUUGGGCUGUUCGCCCAUUAAAGCGGCACGCGAGCUGGGUUUAGAACGUCGUGAGACAGUUCGGUCUCUAUCCGCCGCGCGCGUAAGAAACUUGAGGAAGGCUGUCCCUAGUACGAGAGGACCGGGACGGACGAACCUCUGGUGUGCCAGUUGUUCCACCAGGAGCAUGGCUGGUUAGCUACGUUCGGAAGGGAUAACCGCUGAAAGCAUCUAAGCGGGAAGCCUGUUCCAAGAUGAGGUUUCUCACCACCUUGCGUGGUUAAGGCCCCCUACAGACCAUGGGGUUGAUAGGCCGGAACUGGAAGCGCAGCAAUGCGUGGAGGUGACCGGUACUAAUAGGCCGAGGGCUU
rnacentral:rRNA from 1 species